UGGAGGUGGGGAUAACCCAUUUCCUCUUUGGUCCUGGGUUCGAUACCUAGGGGUGUUGUUUUGGUUUUCUUUUAACGUUUUUUCAUUUUUUUCAUAUUUUCUUUAAUUCUCAUAUCUGAUUAUGUGGUCUUGCUACUUAACUAACAUGUUUCUAUGGUUUGUUCAUUUUUAUUAUGUUAUUUUCAACAUGACUUAUGUGAUUAUUCAUUUUUAGGGAUUAUUAUAUUGUGUGUUGGUUCAUUCAUUUGUACAAAUUAUUUGCCUUUAUGUGUGAGUUGUGUCACAAUCAUGAUAAAUCAUCUCAAUCUCAUUGAUA
rnacentral:lncRNA from 1 species